UAUAGAUGGAUCCGCGCUGCAUUAGCUAGUUGGUAAGGUAACGGCUUACCAAGGCAACGAUGCAUAGCCGACCUGAGAGGGUGAUCGGCCACACUGGAACUGAGACACGGUCCAGACUCCUACGGGAGGCAGCAGUAGGGAAUCUUCCGCAAUGGGCGAAAGCCUGACGGAGCAACGCCGCGUGAGUGAUGAAGGUCUUCGGAUCGUAAAACUCUGUUAUUAGGGAAGAACAUAUGUGUAAGUAACUGUGCACAUCUUGACGGUACCUAAUCAGAAAGCCACGGCUAACUACGUGCCAGCAGCCGCGGUAAUACGUAGGUGGCAAGCGUUAUCCGGAAUUAUUGGGCGUAAAGCGCGCGUAGGCGGUUUUUUAAGUCUGAUGUGAAAGCCCACGGCUCAACCGUGGAGGGUCAUUGGAAACUGGAAAACUUGAGUGCAGAAGAGGAAAGUGGAAUUCCAUGUGUAGCGGUGAAAUGCGCAGAGAUAUGGAGGAACACCAGUGGCGAAGGCGACUUUCUGGUCUGUAACUGACGCUGAUGUGCGAAAG
rnacentral:rRNA from 1 species